AUAUACUAACCAAUAUAAUCUGUUUGUUUAUGUUUUGAGAAUAUUAAUUAUAAUCUCAACAUUAAUUGAUUUUACUCUUUACAAAGAUUAAUAAAAGAACAUGAAGAAAUUAAUGAAUGGUCAAGGUCUCAUAAAAUAAUGAUGGAAGCCAUUAUUUUGAGUCCUUAUUAUCUGCUGGGGGAAUCCUGAUGAUGCUGCAGCAGU
rnacentral:misc_RNA from 1 species